GACGAACGCUGGCGGCGUGCUUAACACAUGCAAGUCGAACGGAAAGGCCCUGCUUGCAGGGUACUCGAGUGGCGAACGGGUGAGUAACACGUGGGUGAUCUGCCCUGCACUUCGGGAUAAGACUGGGAAACUGGGUCUAAUACCGGAUAGGAGCCAUUUUUAGUGUGAUGGUUGGAAAGUUUUUUCGGUGUAGGAUGAGCUCGCGGCCUAUCAGCUUGUUGGUGGGGUAAUGGCCUACCAAGGCGGCGACGGGUAGCCGGCCUGAGAGGGUGGACGGCCACAUUGGGGCUGAGAUACGGCCCAGACUCCUACGGGAGGCAGCAGUGGGGAAUAUUGCACAAUGGGCGCAAGCCUGAUGCAGCGACGCCGCGUGGGGGAUGACGGCCUUCGGGUUGGAAACUCCUUUCGCUAGGGACGAAGCUUUUUGUGACGGUACCUAGAUAAGAAGCACCGGCUAACUACGUG
rnacentral:rRNA from 1 species